GAUGAACGCUGGCGGCGUGCCUAAUACAUGCAAGUCGAGCGAACGGACGAGAAGUUCGCUUCUUUGAUGUUAGCGGCGGACGGGUGAGUAACACGUGUAUAACCCACCUAUAAGACUGGGAUAAUUUCGGGAAACCGGAGCUAAUACCGGAUAAUCUUUUGAACCGCAUGGUUCAAAAGUGAAAGACGGCCUUUCUGUCACUUAUAGAUGGAUCUGCGCUGCAUUAGCUAGUUGGUAAGGUAACGGCUUACCAAGGCAACGAUGCAUAGCCGAACUGAGAGAGUGGUAGGCCACACGGGAACUGAGACGCGGUCCAGACGCCUACGGGAGGCAGCAGUAGGGAAUCUUACGCAAUGGGCGGAAGCCUGACGGAGCAACGCCGCGUGAGUGAUGAAAGUCUUCGGAUCGUAAAGCUCUGUUAUUAGGGAAGAACAUAUGUGUAAGUAACUGUGCACAUCUUGACGGUACCUAAUCAGAAAGCCACGGCUAACUACGUG
rnacentral:rRNA from 1 species